rfam:Brachypodium distachyon strain Bd21 chromosome 1, whole genome shotgun sequence.
UGGCUGUGAUGACAACAAAAUCACUUAUUCAUACCUUAAUUUCAAUUAAGGACAGAAACUGAUGACUUUAUUUGUGCGUGUCUGAGCCGA